rnacentral:rRNA from 1 species
GUUUGAUCAUGGCUCAGAUUGAACGCUGGCGGCAGGCUUAACACAUGCAAGUCGAGCGGGGGAAGGUAGCUUGCUACUGGACCUAGCGGCGGACGGGUGAGUAAUGCUUAGGAAUCUGCCUAUUAGUGGGGGACAACAUCUCGAAAGGGAUGCUAAUACCGCAUACGUCCUACGGGAGAAAGCAGGGGAUCUUCGGACCUUGCGCUAAUAGAUGAGCCUAAGUCGGAUUAGCUAGUUGGUGGGGUAAAGGCCUACCAAGGCGACGAUCUGUAGCGGGUCUGAGAGGAUGAUCCGCCACACUGGGACUGAGACACGGCCCAGACUCCUACGGGAGGCAGCAGUGGGGAAUAUUGGACAAUGGGGGGAACCCUGAUCCAGCCAUGCCGCGUGUGUGAAGAAGGCCUUAUGGUUGUAAAGCACUUUAAGCGAGGAGGAGGCUACUUUAGUUAAUACCUAGAGAUAGUGGACGUUACUCGCAGAAUAAGCACCGGCUAACUCUGUGCCAGCAGCCGCGGUAAUACAGAGGGUGCGAGCGUUAAUCGGAUUUACUGGGCGUAAAGCGUGCGUAGGCGGCUUAUUAAGUCGGAUGUGAAAUCCCCGAGCUUAACUUGGGAAUUGCAUUCGAUACUGGUGAGCUAGAGUAUGGGAGAGGAUGGUAGAAUUCCAGGUGUAGCGGUGAAAUGCGUAGAGAUCUGGAGGAAUACCGAUGGCGAAGGCAGCCAUCUGGCCUAAUACUGACGCUGAGGUACGAAAGCAUGGGGAGCAAACAGGAUUAGAUACCCUGGUAGUCCAUGCCGUAAACGAUGUCUACUAGCCGUUGGGGCCUUUGAGGCUUUAGUGGCGCAGCUAACGCGAUAAGUAGACCGCCUGGGGAGUACGGUCGCAAGACUAAAACUCAAAUGAAUUGACGGGGGCCCGCACAAGCGGUGGAGCAUGUGGUUUAAUUCGAUGCAACGCGAAGAACCUUACCUGGCCUUGACAUACUAGAAACUUUCCAGAGAUGGAUUGGUGCCUUCGGGAAUCUAGAUACAGGUGCUGCAUGGCUGUCGUCAGCUCGUGUCGUGAGAUGUUGGGUUAAGUCCCGCAACGAGCGCAACCCUUUUCCUUACUUGCCAGCAUUUCGGAUGGGAACUUUAAGGAUACUGCCAGUGACAAACUGGAGGAAGGCGGGGACGACGUCAAGUCAUCAUGGCCCUUACGGCCAGGGCUACACACGUGCUACAAUGGUCGGUACAAAGGGUUGCUACACAGCGA